rnacentral:rRNA from 1 species
AUUGAACGCUGGCGGCAGGCCUAACACAUGCAAGUCGAACGAGUGGCGGACGGGUGAGUAAUGUCUGGGAAACUGCCUGAUGGAGGGGGAUAACUACUGGAAACGGUAGCUAAUACCGCAUACCAUCAGAUGUGCCCAGAUGGGAUUCGCUUGUUGGUGGGGUAACGGCUCACCAAGCCGACGAUCCCUCGCUGGUCUGAGGGGGUGACCAGCCACACUGGAACUGAGACACGUUCCAGACUCCUACGGGAGGCAGCAGUGGGGAAUAUUGGACAAUGGGCGAAAGCCUGAUAGAGCCAUGCCGCGGGUAUGAAGAAGGCUUUCGGGUCGUAAAGUACUUUCAUCGGGGAGGCGUUACCCGCAGAAGAAGCACCGGCUAACUCCGUGCCAGCCGCCGCGGUAAUAC